rnacentral:rRNA from 1 species
AUUGAACGCUGGCGGCAUGCCUUACACAUGCAAGUCGAACGGUAACAGGUCUUCGGAUGCUGACGAGUGGCGAACGGGUGAGUAAUACAUCGGAACGUGCCUAGUAGUGGGGAUAACUACUCGAAAGAGUGGCUAAUACCGCAUGAGAUCUACGGAUGAAAGCAGGGGAUCGCAAGACCUUGUGCUACUAGAGCGGCCGAUGGCAGAUUAGGUAGUUGGUGGGAUAAAAGCUUACCAAGCCGACGAUCUGUAGCUGGUCUGAGAGGACGAUCAGCCACACUGGAACUGAGACACGGUCCAGACUCCUACGGGAGGCAGCAGUGGGGAAUAUUGGACAAUGGGCGCAAGCCUGAUCCAGCAAUGCCGCGUGCAGGAUGAAGGCCUUCGGGUUGUAAACUGCUUUUGUACGGAACGAAAAGCUUCGGGUUAAUACCCUGGAGUCAUGACGGUACCGUAAGAAUAAGCACCGGCUAACUACGUGCCAGCCGCCGCAGUAA